UACGGGGGGGGCAAGCGUUGUUCGGAAUUACUGGGCGUAAAGGGCUCGUAGGUGGCCAACUAAGUCAGACGUGAAAUCCCUCGGCUUAACCGGGGAACUGCGUCUGAUACUGGAUGGCUUGAGUUCGGGAGAGGGAUGCGGAAUUCCAGGUGUAGCGGUGAAAUGCGUAGAUAUCAAGAGGAACACCUGAGGUGAAGACGGGUUGCUAGGCUGACACUGACGCUGAGGCGCGAAAGCCAGGGGAGCAAACGGG
rnacentral:rRNA from 1 species